UACGUAGGGGGCAAGCGUUGUCCGGAAUCAUUGGGCGUAAAGCGCGUGUAGGCGGCCUUGUAAGUCCGUUCUGAAAGUCCGGGGCUCAACCCCGGGAGGCGGAUGGAUACUGCAAGGCUUGAGUCCGGAAGAGGCAAGUGGAAUUCCCGGUGUAGCGGUGAAAUGCGCAGAUAUCAGGAAGAACACCCGUGGCGAAAGCGGCUCUCUGGAACGGUACUGACGCUGAGACGCGAAAGCGUGGGGAGCGAACCGG
rnacentral:rRNA from 1 species